rnacentral:rRNA from 1 species
GUGCCAGCAGCCGCGGUAAUACGUAGGUGGCAAGCGUUAUCCGGAAUUAUUGGGCGUAAAGCGCGCGUAGGCGGUUUUUUAAGUCUGAUGUGAAAGCCCACGGCUCAACCGUGGAGGGUCAUUGGAAACUGGAAAACUUGAGUGCAGAAGAGGAAAAGUGGAAUUCCCAUGUGUAGCGGUGAAAUGCGCAGAGAUAUGGAGGAACCACCAGUGGCGAAGGCGACUUUCUGGUCUGUAACUGACGCUGAUGUGCGAAAAGCGUGGAGAUCAAACAGGAUUAGAUACCCUGGUAGUCC